GAUUAAUUAAGACAUUAAAGAAGAGGGGGGAGAAAUUAGGGUUACAAACUUGUGGCUAUUGAGCUCUCACGUGAACAAAUCCCUCUCCCUCUCUCACGACGGCGACGACCGAAGUUUUCACCGGCGGAGAUCUCCGGCAAAACUCUCACUCUCUUCAAUCUCACCGGCCUCCGUCUUUCUCUAUCUCUCUCGCCUAUCUCAAUAUCUCUCGAUUUCGUGACGAUGAUGAUGAUGAGUGUUCUUCGUUGUUGCAGAUGAAGAUGAAGUUCCGAUGAUGAAGGUUGAAGAAUGACAGAGGAAGAUGAAGAAGAUUGAAUCAGGUUGUGGUGGAGAUUGAAAUUGCUGCGGAUCCAAAGAUGUUGAUGCCGAGAAAUUACGAUGAUGAACAGGUGCAGCGAUGAAGAUGAAGAUUCAAGGGAUGAAGGUCGUGACUCGGAGAUGUGAAGGUCGGUUAGAGUAUGGAGAGGUUGAGGAUUUGAUGAUUGAAGUGUGAGGUAGAUGAAGAGUAAUGGAUUGAUGAUGAUGAUUUGAGGAAAUGAUAAAGAUGGUGGAGAGUCCAGGAGUGAAGAAGUGAAAGUGAAUUCUGUGUGAAUGGUUCAGAGGAUGGAGUGAUGGAGAAUUGAAAUGGAGAUGGAUGAAGAAAAUGGAAAACAGAGUGAAGAACCUUUGAAGAAUCGAGUUCUGAGAUUUUAUAGCCGUGACAGGUGGCUCAGUUUAUUUGUGGGGAAUCGGUUUACGGAGCUGCAAGUCCUUUGGUCACGAAAGGAGAAAGAGAAUUGAAGAGGGUUUGGUUUACUUUAUCGCUUGAUGGAUAUAUGUAAACAGAACUAUCAUGAGGAAGGAACGAAUGGAGAUUAACUCGAAGAAUGCAGGAUGCCCAUAAAUGAUGGAGAAUGGCCUUUGUUUUCUUAUAGGAUUUCUGGUUGAAUGGUAGAAGCCAUGUCUUCAUGUAGUAUCUUGUAAUAUAAAUUGAAGUGAAAUGAUGUUUACAAUGUAAUUUGGCUUCUCUCUUUUUUUGUAGAAACUUUUGAAUGAUGAAGUUGAACCUUGUAAUGUAACACUUGUAAUGAACCCUCAAAGGAGCUUGUAAUGAAUUAUGAUGAAGUUUGGAAGAUUGCUCUUGGACAUGUAAUAAGUGAUAGUAAAUGAGAUUGGUUCUUUGAUUCUUGAAUUUGAACUUUGAACGAUUGUAAAAGAACCAAUACGAAAAGCUUUGUAUUCAGCAUAACUCUUUUUUUUUUUAUUCUGUAUUGAAUUUACAAUGUAGCAUGUAUGUAAUGGAUCCCAUUUUUGUAGUAGAGCUAACUUUUGAAUCCUUGUAAUGGGAAUGUAAUGA